CCUACGGGAGGCAGCAGUGGGGAAUUUUGGACAAUGGGCGNAAGCCUGAUCCAGCAAUGCCGCGUGCAGGAUGAAGGCCUUCGGGUUGUAAACUGCUUUUGUACGGAACGAAACGGUUCGCCUUAAUACGGUGGGCUAAUGACGGUACCGUAAGAAUAAGCACCGGCU
rnacentral:rRNA from 1 species